GGGAGCAGCAGCGCGAAACCUUUACACUGCACGACAGUGCGAUAGGGGGAUCCCAAGUGCACAGGCAUAGCGCCUGUGCUUUUCGGUACCGUAAAGGUGGUACCAGAAUAAGGGCUGGGCAAGACCGGUGCCAGCCGCCGCGGUAAUACCGGCAGCCCAAGUGAUGGCCGAUCUUAUUGGGCCUAAAGCGUCCGUAGCUGGCCGCGCAAGUCCAUCGGGAAAUCCACCUGCUCAACAGGUGGGCGCCCGGUAGAAACUGCGUGGCUUGGGACCGGAAGGCGCGACGGGUACGUCCGGGGUAGGAGUGAAAUCCCGUAAUCCUGGACGGACCGCCGAUGGCGAAAGCACGUCGCGAGGACGGAUCCGACAGUGAGGGACGAAAGCCAGGGUCUCGAACCGGAUUAGAUACCCGGGUAGUCCUGGCCGUAAACAAUGUCUGCUAGGUGUGGCUCCCACUACGAGUGGGUGCUGUGCCGUAGGGAAGCCGCUAAGCAGACCGCCUGGGAAGUACGUCCGCAAGGAUGAAACUUAAAGGAAUUGGCGGGGGAGCACUACAACCGGAGGAGCCUGCGGUUUAAU
rnacentral:rRNA from 1 species